CAGCGCCACACCCUGGCGGGGGCGGGCCUGCAACUCCGCGGACGCUGCGAGGUGGCCUGCCUGUUGACAGUCUUAACCCAUUGCGGGGUAAAAAGGAUGUGGCGUGGGGGCGUGCAUUUUGUGUCUCUCGUGGGUCCCCUUCUCAAAUCGGACUAUUGCAAAAAGCAGGCAGAAAGGAGGCAGGCGUCCUUGUUGCUCCCGCCUGCAAUUCACUGCGAUGAGUUUGGCACCUACAUUGCUGUGCUAAACCUAAGGCAUUUUUGACCUAAAAAAUUGAAAUGUUUGAGCAUCGUGAAAGAACUCUUUGGAAGCAGUCCUGCUUUCUCCCUCUUUGCCUUAACUUGGCAGUUUUUCUCACCUACAGACAAUCGUUGCCUUGUAAAGACCCUUGAAGAAAUCUAACACAUCCUCCCUGGGGUACACCUUUUCCAAGCAAAAACUGCAUUAAAUCUUUUCAUGGUGGGCUUGCGUUGUCUUGGUGUCUGAUACUGUGGCAAGUGUCCAAAUUCUCUCUGUGGAGCCAAUAUACUCUGCACUUCCUACAGUCAAAAUACUCUGAAGAAGACGGAGAUUCUAAGGUCCAAGCCUUAGGGCAGGAGCUCAUUUUUGCUUCCUUCAGAAUGAGUUGGCCAUGCUCUUCCUCCACCUAAACCUAGGCUCCUCUUAUCUCACCCAUAUGACUUCCAGACACUCCUAAAAUUACUCUUGUUGACUCCUAUUCUGCACACUGCUGCAGAAUUUUUGUCCGAAGCUCCGUAUUAUUAUCCUAACAGACUAGAGCUCCCAUUCCUUGGCAGAGCAUUCAAUGCCCUGCCCACAACUGGCCCCGAACAUUCUGUCUUGGUCCUACACAACCCCUCUGUGCUUUCAAAUCUACUUAAUUACCCUACUGCCUUCCACUUCUGCAAAAAGUUAUCUUGCCCACGCCUAGCUUUUUCCUUUUAUGCUAAUUCUCCUUCCUCCUUUCUUCCUCAGAGCUUCUUAGCUCAGCUUUCUCAGCUGUUCCUACCACCACCCAGCCAAAUCAGUGAACAAGUGAAACAACCUGCUGUCUACUUCUGUCUUUUCACCUACAGUUAAUUCUCAAUGUGGCAGACAGUAGAAUCUGUUUUAAAAUGUGCGUCAAGUUGUGCUAUGUUUUUGUUCUCAACCCUCCAGCAACUUCCUAUCUGCCUGAAGGAGGGCAUCAGGGUCACAGGUGACAUGGUUCAUCCCUCCCCUUUCUGAUGUCUUCCCUUACUGCCUCCCUCCUUGCUGUGCCUCAGACAAGAGGAAAAAUUUUUAAAAGUCACCUUGGACUGAAGACCAGCAUCAGUUUAUAUGGUGUGAGUUCUUUCCAUUUGCCUUAGAUUGCACCUACACUGACAGAAGAAAGUAAAAAGAUCCAGCAGUUGAGGGAGCACUGGCUUCAUGGUUGAGUCAUCAUUUUGCUAAAUUAUGUAAUAAAUUCAUAAAUACUAACAGUGGAAAAACUAAACAGUGGAGGGAAAAUCCACUGUUUAUCUUCAUCUCCCAGUCUCCCAGUAUUUCACCAGUGGUAUCAAUUAUGAAAUGUCAGACUCAUAGGGAAUGGGAGACAGAGCUGGUCAAUGAUCUGACCAAGCAUCUGAUGAUGAUAAUGUUUUUAUUAUAUAAGGAGACACUUAAAACUGUAUAAAUAGACAUUUUAUUGUUUUCCUCUAAAUGUGUUUAACUCUAAAAAUGUUUUAGUGCAAAAUGUGUUAGCAGUUAGCAAUUGUUUGUUAUACUAGUGAUCCAACAUCUGUUAACAAUGAGGUUCUGGCAUACCAUCUGUAUUAGUCCAUUCUCAUGCUGCUAUAAAGAACUGCCUGAGACUGGGUAAUUUACAAAGAAAGGAGGUUUAAUUGACUCACAGUUCUGUGGGGCUGGGGACACCUAGAAAAUUUACAAGUAUGGUAGAAGGGGAAGCAAACACAUCCUUCUUCACAUGCUGGCAAGAGAGAGAAUGAGAACCAAGUGAAGCGGGGAGUCCCUUAUAAAACCAUCAAAUCUUGUGAAAACUUACUCAUUAUCAUGAGAAUAGCAUGAGGGUAAUCACCCCCAUGAUUCAAUUAUCUCCCACUGGGUCCCACCCAUGACACUUGGGGAUUAUGGAAACUACAAUUCAAGAUGAGAUUUGGGUGGGGACACAGCCAAACCAUAUCACCAUCCCACAUGAGUAAUUCUGAAGAAAAGGAAGCCAGAGUAGCAGGGUAGCAGUCACCCCAAAAUAACCCUGAGACUACAGCUUUGGGCAGAGCAACCCCUAGGCAAAAGCUAUGAAGUGAGCAGAGCUGUUUAUCCAUUAACUCAUCUGUUCUAUACCCAUCUAUACUGGCUGUGAUAUUCCAACAUUAUGCACAAGGAUAAACAAGAUUUACUUCCUGCCCAAAGAAAUUUACACAUUUUAGCUUCCUUCCUAAAGUCAGCUUCCUGAAUUUUCUACACUUACACACCCAUAAGGCCAGUAUCCUACUGUUCUUUGGCCUCUUGAUUUCCUCCUCUUAUCAAAAACUCUUCUUAAUUAGCUACAAGUUGGGAGUAAACCAAUAGUUAAUUCAUACUAAGGUGUAAAAGACUAUAUGGCUGAACACAUUGUAUUCUACUAUCUUUCUCAGACGUGUUUGCAUUUUUAGAGAAAGGAAGCCUUAAAUUUGAAGCUGUGAAACUAAUGGUGGAACUCCAGGUAUUAGUAAAGCAAUAGCAGAGACUUUUUUUUUUUGAGACGGAGUCUCACUCUGUCAUCCAGGCGGGAGUGCAGUGGCAUGAUCUUGGCUCACUGCAACCUCUGCCUCCUGGGUUCAA